rnacentral:snRNA from 1 species
GGAUGUGAGGGCGAUCUGGCUGCGACAUCUGUCACCCCAUUGAUCGCCAGGGUUGAUUCGCCUGAUCUGGCUGGCUAGGCGGGUGUCCCCUUCCUCACUCACCGUUCCAUGUGCAUCCCUCCCGAAGCUGCGCGCUCGGUCGAAGAGGAUGACCUUCCCCGCUAGAGGAGGACCGGUCUUUGGUCAAGGGUAUACGAGUAGCUGCGCUCCCCUGCUAGAACCUCCAAACAAGCUGUCAAAUAAAUAAAUCCUUAAAAAAUAAAAGAAAAAAAGAAAUACAUAAAUGAAU